AGUGGGCAAUGACGAUUAAGUAUACAGCUUUAACCAGUUCUGCUUCAGAGAAUUCUUGAUUGAAAGAGCUGAUAUGUAUAUCCGAGCCUGUU